GUAUGGAGCAAGCGUUAUCCGGAUUUACUGGGUGUAAAGGGAGCGCAGGCGGCGCGGCAAGUCUGGUGUGAAAUACCGGGGCCCAACCCCGGGACUGCAUUGGAAACUGUCGGGCUGGAGUGUCGGAGGGGCAGGCGGAAUUCCUAGUGUAGCGGUGAAAUGCGUAGAUAUUAGGAGGAACACCGGUGGCGAAGGCGGCCUGCUGGACGACAACUGACGCUGAGGCUCGAAAGCGUGGGGAGCAAA
rnacentral:rRNA from 1 species